rnacentral:rRNA from 1 species
UUUGAUCCUGGCUCAGGACGAACGCUGGCGGCGUGCCUAAUACAUGCAAGUCGAGCGAACCACUUCGGUGGUUAGCGGCGGACGGGUGAGUAACACGUGGGCAACCUGCCUGUAAGACUGGGAUAACUUCGGGAAACCGGAGCUAAUACCGGAUAAUCCUUUUCCUCUCAUGAGGRAAAGCUGAAAGACGGUUUCGGCUGUCACUUACAGAUGGGCCCGCGGCGCAUUAGCUAGUUGGUGAGGUAACGGCUCACCAAGGCGACGAUGCGUAGCCGACCUGAGAGGGUGAUCGGCCACACUGGGACUGAGACACGGCCCAGACUCCUACGGGAGGCAGCAGUAGGGAAUCUUCCACAAUGGACGAAAGUCUGAUGGAGCAACGCCGCGUGAGCGAUGAAGGCCUUCGGGUCGUAAA